ACUAACUUCCCCUCCCCUCCCCUCACCGCACCAGGACGCGCUCCACACCCCCGACCCGGUGCGCCGCCGCUGUCGUCGUUGCCGCAGAGAGAGGAAGAGAGUGAUGACAAUGGUAACGGCGGGCCAAACGGAUCGCCAAGCACAUCAUGCGGAGUGGUGUUGCUCCGAUCGAUGCCCUUCUACACCGAACCUCCAAAUCUCACACGAAAAAAAGGGGAUCUUGGCGAUGGCGGCGGCCGGCGUCACUUCCUCCAUCCUCUAGGAAGAUGUUGUUUCCGAGCCUGCCGCCGCCGCCCCCACGCUAGAAGAGGCGUCCUCAGAGGCUUCCAAGGCUGACGGCGGCCACAAGAGAAAGCUCAAGGAGGCCGACGCAGUCGCGGAGGCCAACGGCGCCUGGGAGGACGCCAACCGACCGCAUGUGGAAGGCAAACCACAGAUCUUCUUUCAGAUGCCAUGACUCGUCCGGUGGAAUUGUUUGCAAGUCAUGUGAGUAUUGACAAGGCUGAGCAGCUUAUUAAGAGUGUAUCUCUGAGGUUGAGUUGGAGGUUCCCCUACCUUGAUAGCCAAAGGUUUUGGGUCCAGACAGUCAGGUUCAGAACAGUUUGAGAGUGGAGGUUUGCCAGUAUCCAGUUUCUUCUACCUCAUCAUGCAUGUUCUCGGGCUCCCCCAACCUCGACCUUCACGUUGAGCGGUGCUGCCCCUCUAAUGGCCAGUUGAAGCGGCAACCCCAGGCACGCAGCCGUCAAGAUAGCGACCAUGGUUCUGCCCUUUAACCACCCCUGGGCGUGACGUCCUCUCUAGGUUCAAGGAGGAGCGAGUAGGAGGACAUGAAGUAACGCUCAUAUAUUGUGUGUAUCUUCCACUUUAUGAUUCCAAAUCAGAUAACCCUGCCAAGGUCAGCUUAGAGGUUAAUGUGAUCUGUAAAUCAAGCAUAGCAAAAAUACUGGCCAAGAAAGAUGUCUUAUCUCCAGUCUUUAAUUUAAACGUCACAUUUAGACUUCCUGCCAUAACUCUGCUGUGUAGUGAUACUGAUAUGUAUCCUCUCUUUCCUGCCUCCCUUUUUAGUUUUUUUGUGAUAUGUUUGGAGGCUAAAGUAAUUUGUAUAUGAUCGCUAGAUCACUAACCCAGGAAGCUACAUUGACUGAUCAAACAUGCUAAUUACUGGACGGUCAAUGACUGAAUAAACAUCACCAGUAAUCUUAACAACUCUCCAGA